AAUGUGUUGGUUUGACGGCGAUGGUGUCAACCUCAAAAUCCAAGUCUGUCACAGAAUUGCGUGUACACCGACACAGUGUUGCAUUGACACCGAUAUAAUGUUGAAUUGACACCGAUGGUGUCAAUCUGAUGUCGAAAGCUCUUACGCGUACAAGUUUUAACAUGCCGCAAGUCCUUAGCCCGCAGUCAGAGAAGCUCAGUUUCCUCCACGCGCGCUUACAAGCAGUCGCUUCGCAUUUCAGUGCGCAGCAAGCAGCAAAUGUGCAGGAUGCACCGGAUAGUGGUGACAUUGUUACCGGGACAUCUUUCCAGUUGCGAAAGGGACGAUACAACGGGGAGACUAAAUGGAUAAAAGUGCUCACUCCCAAUGGCAAGCCCUUGGAAUAGAAUGAUUUUAUUAUUACAGAAAAUAUUCUAUGACCCUGAAGGCCGGUCAGGUUACAUCUCCUGGAGACUGCGCACCCUCAAUAGACGUCGUCAGGUGCCAAGUAAAGAAGUUAAAAUUGAGCAGAAAGAAAACGUUCGAC
rnacentral:lncRNA from 1 species